rnacentral:rRNA from 1 species
UACGUAGGGUGCGAGCGUUAAUCGGAAUUACUGGGCGUAAAGCGUGCGCAGGCGGUUUUGUAAGCCAGAUGUGAAAUCCCCGGGCUUAACCUGGGAAUGGCAUUUGGGACUGCAAGGCUAGAGUGUGUCAGAGGGGGGUAGAAUUCCACGUGUAGCAGUGAAAUGCGUAGAGAUGUGGAGGAAUACCGAUGGCGAAGGCAGCCCCCUGGGAUAACACUGACGCUCAUGCACGAAAGCGUGGGGAGCAAACAGG